rnacentral:misc_RNA from 1 species
GCAGGUUAGUGGCUUGCUGGCCCAAAAAUGAUUGCUUGGUUCAAAUAACAGCAACAAGGCUUGAUUUACAGAAAAUUACUCCAAUAAUACUAGAAAAUUUGGGAUUAGACAUUUCGUUGUAAAAACUUUCCAAAUAGAAAAUUAGAAUUCAAUCAUUAAAGUUUUCUGAAUAUAUACUAACAUUAGGAAAACUACUUUAAAGUGUUCUGCGUUUUCCUCAUAACCAAAGAGUUACGAGUAAAAUUGUAAAAACAAGUGUUUGCGUUUUUGCUGGGUUCAAAUACCAGCAACAUCUUUAUCCGUUUUAAUACAUAUAUAUAUAUACACACACUACUAUGUUAGAUUAUAGAUCAGUUGGCUUAAAUUUUUGGCUUUUGUACCCUGCUGCUAAGGUUCAAAACCCCACACAGCAACAGUUUUUUUACUUUUUUUUUUUUUAAAUGAAAUACAUAUUCUCUGAUUAUGCUUUAUCUUUCUUUCCAACAACUUCAUUUAUGCAGAAAAAUUUGUUUUAUAGUAAUUUUCAUAAUAAUUUUUAGUUUUCAAACUGAUCUUUCUACUCAACUCAACUCAACU